UAUGCUUGGUAAAUUUAUUUAUUUAUAAUUUUUUAACUUAUUAAGGAAAUAUUAUAUGAAAAAUAUAAUAGAUUUUACAUUUUUCAUUCAACAUAUUUUUAAUUUAUGCAUAAUUUUUAAAUUACAAUAACCGAAAUAUUUAAUAAUAUUUAUUGAGUAGAAGUUGGGGAUAUUUUUUUUAAUGUCUAUAUUUUAAGAUUAGUUUUGGAAAAUUCAGUUACCAUGUUAAACAGUUAAAAUAUUUUCUGCGUGUUCCUCAAGUUAGGAGAUUUUCUUUUUUAUUUGAUUUGAUUCCAUAAAUCUCUUAAAUAAGAUUUUUCGCUACUGCAUGGGCCUAAGAAAACAUAAAUGUAAGUAGAAAAUACGUUGGACUUUUUUUAUCAAUCGAAUAACACUGAAAAUAAUUUAAAUAGAGAAUGAAAUGUUUUGUAAUUAGUAGUAAAUUUCAGGGGCAGAUUCAUAAAAAGUAUUCUGUUUUAAUAGUAUAGAUAACAAAGUUCGGUAGGCCUCUGCUAAUUACGAAGCGGAUCGGUUACCAUAAGAAGCCCAAAAUAUCCCUGGGCAGUUCACGUUUUGACCGGUUGACACGACACCAUUUAGCUGCUUAUUAGGCAACUAAAGACUUUCCGUACGUUGAACAAAAAAAAAAAACUUUCCGUACAAAAUAACAAAAAAUGUGUUGAGCUUGCUUUUGAGACACAUGUGUGUCCUACUAACGUGCACGUGCGUAUCUAGACCUGUCUGGUUUAACCGGUCGGAGUCCAGUAAGCAUAUAAAAAACGAAAUUGGACGGAAUAGGGCCAACUCCACCUACUUUCGCUAACUUUUGGCCCAAAAUGUGAGGGUAAAUCACGUCAUCUUAAAAUCCUAAAAACCAAAGAUCAAAUACUACUAACUAGGUGUUUUCUUACUACCUAGGUGCAGUAAUUCAAUUUUGAAAUUUAAAUUAUAUUUAAAAAUAAAAUUUUAUUAUUUUCUUACUAAUAUUUUAAUAUAAAUUGUUUAUUUAAUUAGACAUAAAAUAAAGAUAAAAUAAAAAAAAUUGUUUAUUUUAAUUUAUGUUUAAAAAUAGAUUUGAAUAUAUUUAAAAUUAUAAUCUUAGACAAUGUUUUUUAUCUACUUCUUUUAGAUAAAAAUAUAUUAAAUAAAUUUGUAUAAAAUUAAAAAAAUAAUUGAUAUAAUAUUGUAUAAUAAUAAAAAAUUAUAACUAAGCAGUAUUUCUAAAUUUCGUAGAUAUAAAAGAAAUUGAUAAAUAUUACGAUUAAAAUUUUAUAAUUUUUUUUUAAAAAAAGUUAAAAACAAUUGUAGUAAUAAAAUUGUAUAAUCAAAAUAGAAAUAAAUAACAUUUGAAAAUUUGAAAAUUUUAUUAUAUUUUUAUUAUUAUACUAUUUAAUGUCAUAUUUGAAUAGAUUUAGUGAUUUACUUUAAUGGUAAUGUAUAAUUUACAAUUAUAUUCUAUAAAUUUUACUACAUACAAUAUAUGAAUAACCAUUAAAUGUAAAUAUCUAUGUCACAUCAACCAUAAGACAUGUUAUCAUCUAUAUAUAUAUAAAAAUGUUGGUGGUUUUCCUGGGAGUCCACGUGGAAACUCCGUUUCUGUAAAGCCAACACGUGUCCACGCUUCUCUCCACAUCGUUUCAUUUAAGUGAAUUCUUCUUGGGCUUUAUUUUGUUAUAAUUCGUGAUGGGCUUCUAACCCUAAUAUAGAUUCACAAAAAAAAAAAAAAAAAAAAAGAAAAUCCUUCUUCUUCUUCGACGCCGGGGACUUUCACGAUUCUUUAUUAGAUCUGAAACGGGAAAGAGCUGGAGAAAAGACUGACUAAGACUGAACGGUAGAGAAGGCGAGAGUCACCACCACCGGUCUCCUCUCUCUCACCGUCUCUCUCCUCUCUGCGCCACGCAGGAUCUCUCUCUCUCCCUGCCUCGCUAUGUCACGGAAAGUUGGAGGAGGCAGAGAAGCUUGAUGGAGGAGGACGGAGAAGAAGCUUCACGGGGUGGAAGAAGCUGGACGAACAGACGGUGGAAGAGGCAGGAUGAAAAAGGCGGAGGUUUAGUUUUGUAUUUUUUAUGGAGAGUUCAACAAGAAGACGGCGGCCUCUAGAUUAGGUUUAGUUUUGCAUUUUUUUUUUAAUUUUGUUUAAUGGUGUAAACCAAUUUGAAAUUACAAACCGGUUCAAAUAUUUUGUAAACCUGUUUUAAUAUAUACAUUCUAUAUUUAUAUGUACUUUUCAAUUUCGUAAUGUAAUACCACAACUCUACAAGAACAAAAAGUCUUUGAAGAGUCUUUUGGUCCUCACUUAGAUCCCUUUUCCCACUUAAAUUUUGUGGGCGUGAUUUAUAAAGAGACAUUCCUUUGAUGGUUUCUGUUUUGUGAUGAAAGAUCAUAGAUAUUAUUUCUUUUUUGGAAGAUUAGAGAGAUUUUUGCUCAAUUAAACCUUUAACCAAGUUUCUUUUUUUUUCCUCUUUAAUUAUAUUAGUGAAUGAUUAUUAUUA